UACAGAGGCCCCAAGCGUUACUCGGAAUUACUGGGCGUAAAGCGUGCGUAGGUGGUUUGUUAAGUCUGUUGUGAAAGCCCCGGGCUCAACCUGGGAAUGGCAAUGGAUACUGGCAGGCUAGAGUGCGGUAGAGGGUAGUGGAAUUCCCGGUGUAGCGGUGAAAUGCGUAGAGAUCGGGAGGAACACCAGUGGCGAAGGCGGCUACCUGGACCAGCACUGACACUGAGGCACGAAAGCGUGGGGAGCAAACAGG
rnacentral:rRNA from 1 species